rnacentral:rRNA from 1 species
UGCUUUAUGGUAUAUAAUAUAUAAAGUAAUCUCCUGCCCAGUGAAAUAUAUUUAAACGGCCGCGGUAUCCUAACCGUGCAAAGGUAGCAUAAUAACUUGCCUAUUAAUUGUAGGCUAGAAUGAAUGGGGUAACGAAAUAAGAUCUUUCUCUUAUAGAUCUAUAAAAACUAAUAUUUAAGUGAAGAAGCUUAAAUAAUAUUAAAGGACAAGAAGACCCUAUAGAGCUUUAAUUUAAAAUAUACACAAUAUUAUACAUUUAGGUUGGGGCAACCAAGGAAAAAUCAUCCUUUCCAAGUUAGAUAAACCAAUCAUCCCAAUGAUCCUAUACUAGAUUACCGAACCAAGCUACCUUAGGGAUAACAGGCUAAUCCUAUUACAGAGCUCUUAUCAACAAUAGGGAUUGGCACCUCGAUGUUGGCUUAGAAUAUCUUUAUGACGCAGCAGUCAUAAAUAGAAAGUUUGUUCAACUUAUAAUAUUC